ACGCUGAUCUUCCUGGUGCUUUGGAUGCGCGUCUUCAGCCAGGAUCCUGGCUCCAAAACGGUGGCUGAUCGCUAUGCCGUCUACUGGAACAGCAGCAACCCCAGCUGUAUAGGCCUUGAUCUUUAAAACAAAUGAGGUGAGGCUUUCCAUGGAGUGAAAAAAGAAAUCACCAACCUGAUUCCUUUCGCAUUUCGUUAUUACAUAUUUUUGAAGGUGAACAGUCCAUGUUGGACACAGUGGACUGUUCUGUUUUCAGGGCGGCUCCACUCCAGGCCGAUGGGGGGGCAUCUUGAUCUUCCAUGGAAAAAGGUACAAUCUGAAUCUCAAUUUUGGAUGAAAGACAGGUGAGUCUGCCUGUGCAGUGAUGUUGUUUGCAAGCUUUUCUAGCUUUGUGGCUAUCUGAGAACCAGGAAGUAGGGUGGAGGUUGAACAGUGGAAAGCACACAUAUUCUCCACUCAAUUUCUGUCACACUCACUUGCUCCUUACCUUUCCUUGUUGGUGUAGAGAGGCUGGGUUUGUAGAGCAGAGCACCUAUCAUUCCUG
rnacentral:lncRNA from 1 species